rnacentral:rRNA from 1 species
ACGUAGGGUGCAAGCGUUAAUCGGAAUUACUGGGCGUAAAGCGUGCGCAGGCGGUUCUGUAAGUCAGAUGUGAAAUCCCCGGGCUUAACCUGGGAACUGCGUUUGAAACUACAAGGCUAGAGUGUGGCAGAGGGGGGUGGAAUUCCACGUGUAGCAGUGAAAUGCGUAGAGAUGUGGAGGAACACCAGUGGCGAAGGCGACUUUCUGGUCUGUAACUGACGCUGAGGCGCGAAAGCGUGGGGAGCAAACAGGA